rnacentral:tRNA from 1 species
UAGGAAGUAGUGUAGUCAGGAAGCACUAGGAUUUUUGAUAUCCUCAGGAACAGGGUUCGAAUCCCUUCUUUCUAG